UCGUCACACUAUCAUUAACUGAAUCCAUAGGUUAAUGAGGCGAACCGGGGGAACUGAAACAUCUAAGUACCCCGAGGAAAAGAAAUCAACCGAGAUUCCCCCAGUAGCGGCGAGCGAACGGGGAGGAGCCCAGAGCCUGAAUCAGCAUGUGUGUUAGUGGAAGCGUCUGGAAAGGCGCGCGAUACAGGGUGACAGCCCCGUACACAAAAGCGCAUGUGCUGUGAGCUCGAUGAGUAGGGCGGGACACGUGGUAUCCUGUCUGAAUAUGGGGGGACCAUCCUCCAAGGCUAAAUACUCCUGACUGACCGAUAGUGAACCAGUACCGUGAGGGAAAGGCGAAAAGAACCCCGGCGAGGGGAGUGAAAAAGAACCUGAAACCGUGUACGUACAAGCAGUGGGAGCACAGGUUUACCUGUGUGACUGCGUACCUUUUGUAUAAUGGGUCAGCGACUUAUAUUCUGUAGCAAGGUUAACCGAAUAGGGGAGCCGGAGGGAAACCGAGUCUUAACCGGGCGUUAAGUUGCAGGGUAUAGACCCGAAACCCGGUGAUCUAGCCAUGGGCAGGUUGAAGGUUGGGUAACACUAACUGGAGGACCGAACCGACUAAUGUUGAAAAAUUAGCGGAUGACCUGUGGCUGGGGGUGAAAGGCCAAUCAAACCGGGAGAUAGCUGGUUCUCCCCGAAAGCUAUUUAGGUAGCGCCUCGUGAAUUCAUCUCCGGGGGUAGAGCACUGUUUCGGCUAGGGGGCCAUCCCGGCUUACCAACCCGAUGCAAACUGCGAAUACCGGAGAAUGUUAUCACGGGAGACACACGGCGGGUGCUAACGUCCGUCGUGAAGAGGGAAACAACCCAGACCGCCAGCUAAGGUCCCAAAGUCAUGGUUAAGUGGGAAACGAUGUGGGAAGGCCCAGACAGCCAGGAUGUUGGCUUAGAAGCAGCCAUCAUUUAAAGAAAGCGUAAUAGCUCACUGGUCGAGUCGGCCUGCGCGGAAGAUGUAACGGGGCUAAACCAUGCACCGAAGCUGCGGCAGCGAACGUAUCACUUAAAGCGAUUCAGCGGGUUACGAUUGACGGAGCGAAGCGACGUCAAAGCGUAUACAAAGUCGAGUCGGUUUAAGGAUACGUUCGUUGGGUAGGGGAGCGUUCUGUAAGCCUGUGAAGGUGUGUCGUGAGGCAUGCUGGAGGUAUCAGAAGUGCGAAUGCUGACAUAAGUAACGAUAAAGCGGGUGAAAAGCCCGCUCGCCGGAAGACCAAGGGUUCCUGUCCAACGUUAAUCGGGGCAGGGUGAGUCGACCCCUAAGGCGAGGCCGAAAGGCGUAGUCGAUGGGAAACGGGUUAAUAUUCCCGUACUUGGUGUUACUGCGAAGGGGGGACGGAGAAGGCUAUGUUGGCCGGGCGACGGUU
rnacentral:rRNA from 1 species